UCGGAUUGUAGUCUGCAACCCGACUACAUGAAGCUGGAAUCGCUAGUAAUCGCGGAUCAGAAUGCCGCGGUGAAUACGUUCCCGGGUCUUGUACACACCGCCCGUCACACCAUGGGAGUCGGAAAUGCCCGAAGUCUGUGACCUAACCGUAAGGAAGGAGCAGCCGAAGGCAGGUCGGAUGACUGGGGUGAAGUCGUAACAAGGUAAC
rnacentral:rRNA from 1 species